rnacentral:lncRNA from 1 species
UGAUAAGAUAAGAAAAAGCAAUUGGAAGAAUAAAGAAAACUAAAACUCAUUAUUUGUGGCUAAUUAUUUAUAUAAUUACCAAACAAUAUAAACAAAUUAUUAUUAAAGAUAAUAAAAAAUACACAAACUAAUCAAACUAUUUAAAGAAAAAAGUGAGGCAAUGAUGAACAUGGGAUUUAGUGGGAAGGCAGUAGGUGGGAGAAGGGGCUACAUGGCCAGAUGUGAGUUGUUAUCAUAGCACUAGCUUCUGUUUUGAGUGGUGAUUUCAUGAAUAUUUAUUACAUUAUUAAAAAUACCAACUAAGUAAUCAACCAACUAAAUAAAAGUGGGCUAAGCCUGGACCAAUGAUGAAUGUGUCAUAUGAAUUAAAAAUGAUAAUUAAUCUAAUUGUGUGUACCUUUGGCACAAAUAAAAAAAUUAAUUGUAUCCAUAAUCACCAUGGGUUUAGUACUUUACAAUUUAUGAAAUGUUUUCACUUCCAUUCCUUGUCUUGACAAUCAUUUGAAAUAUCUCAUUUGAUUUUCAAGAUGACCCUGUGACAUAGAACUUUAUCCUUAUUUUCCAGUAAGUACAGGGAUCAAGGCAUAUUAAAUAAGUGUCACAUUGUUCAUACAUAGUAUUAGAACUUGAAGAGUCAUGCUAAACUUCAUGCCAAAUAUUAUGUAUAGCAAUGUUUUCCAAACUGUUGAGUUAAAAGCCUAAGUCUAAAAUCAUUCACUGUAUUUGGAUGUUGUUUGAUUACCUUGCUAUCAUUUUAUAUACUGCCUUUAUCUUUCAAACAAAUUCAUGUGAAUAAGAGCUGUCCAUAUGUUCGAAAAUUAAAUAAAUAGAUAUUUGAAAUAUCAACUGAUAUUUCAAAUUGAAAUUUAGCUGUUCAGAAUGUGAAAUUGUACAGUUUUUAAUUCUGAUUCAACCCUUAGCCAUUAUUAGUUCCAUUGUCUUACUAGUUACUAAAAUCAGGCAUGCAAGUAGCCUCAAAAAGCAGACUCCUCCCCACUCCAUAUGCUUGAUAACAGACCAGCUGGAAACCAAUUAACAUGCAUGGCGAUGUAAAGGAGACUCUUAAGCUCCUCUCUCAACGACAGAGGGUAGAGAGACCUUAAGAUGGCUAUUGCAUUAAGAAAGUUCUUUUCACAAAUACCUUUCAUUUGCCCCAUUUGUUCUUUUAUAAUGUCAAAUUAAGGCAUAUAUUAUUAUUAAAUUCCAUUUAAUAAAUUAUUAUUAUUAAAUUCCAUUUAAUAAAUUAUUAUUAUUAAAUUCCAUUUAAUAAAUUCCAUUAAACUAUAGUUUAUUUAAUUUUUUUUAGCUUCAAAAUAUUCACCUAUUAGAGGCAGAAGAAAUUAGAAAUAAUUAUUCUUUACUAUUUUUUUGAAUGGGAGCAUUAUUUUACGAAUUUACUUUUGCAGUUCAGUAGGACACUAAUUUUUCAACAGAUUUAAUUUUUUAGUUCAUGAGAAAUAUUGUGCACUUCAAAUCUAUUUCUCCUGCAACUGGUUUUAUUUGGAAGCUGUAAAGGGUUAUAUAGCUUUCCAGCAGCAGCGUCUCUGCUAAGAGUGUGACUCGCUCCUCUCAAAGACAGUGUUGUGUUCUGCUAAUAGUAUGUUGGUUCUAAUUUGGUAAAUAAUGUCAAAUAGCAUCAAAGUUCAAUAUGAGGAUAUAGCAUAUGAAGCAUAAAUUCUUUCAAAUUGUAUUCUCUCCUGAUCCUUUCAGCAAAGUUUAACCCAUUGAAAUUUUGGAACCUAUUCUCUUUCAUGACAUUAAGGUAUCUGUCAUAUUUGAUAAGUAACUUUCCUGUUUUGAAGUACAAGCAAGUGACAAUACCUUUCAAGCUACUUAAUAUUCAGUAAUAGGAUAGGACAAUGAGCAUGUCUGAGACAAUGUGUGUUCCUGAAAAUAUCUUCAACAACUUAGUGCAUAAUCAGAAAAAGCCCAUUUCAUGGAUAUGGUCAUGUUAAGAUGCUCCAGUACCAUUCCUAUAUCUUCAAGAUACUCAAAAUCUUUCUUCUGAAAACACUUUAGUUUUCUAAAAUAUUUUAUUUAUUUAUUUGAGAGAGAGAGAGAGAGAGAAAGCAGGAGGAGCAGCAGGCUCCCUGAAGUGUAGGGAGCCCAAUGCAGGGCUUGAUCUCAGGACCCCAGGAUCAUGACCUGAGCCAAAGGCAGAUGCUUAACUGACUGAGCCUCCAGGUGCCCUGCUUAAAUUACUUUAAGCAAAAAUAAUUGUGCAUAUUAACACAUGAAAAAAGAUGAGAAUGACUAUAACUAACUUCUACUUUUAUUUUGUAAUUCUAAGCUUCAAAUCAUCUCAAAGUUACCAGGAAUAUGCAAUCUAAUAUUCAUUAUAUACAGUUGAUCCCUGAACAACAUACGGCUUAGGAGUGCCAACCUCCCAUGCAGUUGAAAAUCUGCAUAUAGGGCAGCCUGGGUGGCUCAGCGGUUUAGUGUCGCCUUCAGCCCAGGGCGUGAUCCUGGAGACCCGGGAUCGAGUCCCAUGUCGGGCUCCCAGUAUGGAGCCUGCUUCUCCCUCUGCCUGUGUCUCUGCCUCUCUGUGUGUCUCUCAUGAAUAAAUAAAAUCUUAAAAAAAAAAGAAAAUCUGCAUAUAACUUUUGACUACCUCCAAAUUUAACCACUAAUAGCCUACUGUUGGCCAGAGCCUUAUCAAUGGCAUAGAGUUGGUUAACACAUGUUUUAUAUGUUAUAUGAAUUACAUACUGUAUUUUUACAAUAAACUAAGGUAGAGAAAAGAAAAUGUUCUUAAGAAAAUUACAGGAAAAGAAGAUACAUUUACUGUACUGUAUUUAUUAAAAAAAAAUUUGUGUAUAAUUGGACCUAUGCGGUUCAAACCCCUAUUGUUCAAGAGUCAACUGUACUUAAAUUGGAAAACUUUACUUGAAAAAACAUACUGUUAAGAAAAUACUAUCCUGAAACAAACAAAAAAACCCCACAACAAAACAAAACAAAACAAAACAAAACCAAACAACAACAGCAACAAAAAAGAAAAUACAAUUCCAUCAUGGACUGGCUGUUUUCUUCCUACUUGUGAUCUUCUCCACUUGCCUCCCCUGCCCCUUACCCAACUUCUCCCAUUUACCUGACUAAAAUCAUAAGUCCUUUAAGGUUUAUUUCAAAUUGUUACCCAGUGAAGCCUAACUUGAGGACUCCAGCCUUGGUCAAAAUUUGCUUCCCGAGCAGUCAUGCACUUAGUAGCUGUAUCAUUGAUUCAGAUACAAUUACUGUAGAAUGGGUUACGUGUAGUUUAAUGCAGUAUUAUAUACCAUUUAAAAAUUUUUAGGGCAGUCAUAAUUUUCUCUCCAGUAAGUUUCUGAUAUGUCUGAAGACAAAUGGGUCUUGUCUGGUAUUGUUCUGGUAUUUUUUUGUUGAACAAUACAUUUUAUUCAUUUGUUCAACUGUCACCUAUCCAGUCAGUGCUCACGAUGAGCCAGAGACUUUGCUAAAUAUUGGCACACAAAGAUUUAUUUGCUAUUUAUUAAUUCAACAUAGUUUUGAGUGUCUAGCAUCUGCCAAAUUCUUGAGAUAUAGGUAUAAAGUAAAUUAAAUUUCUAGUUUUAUGUGCCUUCAAUCUUAGUAGAGGGGACAAAAUAAAAAAAUCUAUAUAUAUUAUCAAGUAGUGAUAAGGGCUGUGAAGAAGGUGAAACAUGAUAAAGCAAUAGGGGAUGAUAAAGUGUGGGUAUGGGGAUAUUUGAAGAUGGUGAGGAAGGUUCUCUCUGAGAGAUGACAUUUGAGCAGGAACCUGAGUGAAGUGAGGGGGUGAGCUAAGCAAAUAUCUGACAGGAGAGAGUUCUUGGCAAGGGAAGAGAAAGUUCAAGUGCCCAGAUGGAAGUGUUCUUGGCGUGUUCCAGAACAGCUAGAAGGUAAACUGGCCGAAAGCCCUAAGUGACAGGGAGGGCUCCCUGGAGGUGAAGUCAGAGAGGAGGCAGGGCCAGCUCAUAAAAGGCUCUAGAGGAUUUGAUUUUUUUUUUUUUUAAGAUUUUAUUUAUUUAUUUGAGAGGGAGAGUGAGAGCGAGUGAGCACAUGAGCUGGGGAAGAGGCAGAGGGAGAAGGAGAAACAGACUCCCCACUGAGCAGAGAGCCCAAUGAAGGGCUGGAUCCCAGGACCUUGGGAUCAUGGCCUGAGCUAAAGGCAGAUGCUCAACCAAGUGAACCACCCACACACCCAGGAUUUGAUUCUAUACAUGGCAGAAAGAUAUUGGAGGUUUUAAGUAAGGCACUGAUAUGGCCUGAUUUAUGAUGAAUAAGACAAAUGAAAAAGAUCUUGGAACUGCUCUAAAGAAACUUAAAAUCUGUUAUUCAAAGUUCUAUACAAACAUUCAUAGGCAUUCUUAUUAAACUAUGGAAUUAAAAAAAUAAAUUUACUAAAAUUUAAAAUAUUCCCACUAUGUGUAUGUUCUAUGUAGAGUGUGUGUGUGUAAGUGUACAUAUAUAUGGGUAAUUGUGGGAAGAGUCAAAUAGCAAAUUUAAGCAGAAAAUUGUAACCUCAAAAGUUAUAAAGAUGAGGAAUGUAGCAUUACUGAAAAUUCAAAUCCAAGAAAUGUAGUUUAUUCAUUUGAGAAAAAAACGCAGUGACUGUUUUUUUACUUCCAUAUUUUUGUAUCUAAAAAUAUCAAGAUAUGACUUAAAUAUUUUAUGCAAGAAUAUAUAUUACUGCUAUUUGAAUUGUAGGUCCCAAAGAAUAUUUGAUCAAUAUUUACUGCACAUGUCUGCUUCAAAAAAAGGGCAUAGUGAUUGGUUGUGAAGUGGAUCUGAAGAACUGUGAAAUAGAAACAUAAUUAUAUGAUCUUAAGGUACUAAAUAAUCAAAGGUCCUUUUUUUUUUUUCUGUCCAUAGAUGAGAUCUUAGCACUGUGACGAAGGGAUCUGGUUUGUAAUAUUAAUUUUGAUGCUAAUGUGAUAGGUGACUGAGCAAGACACAAUGAUGGUAACAGCAAAUGCUAAUUGAGUCCUCAUGUUGUGUCAGGCAUUCUGUGAACUGUGUGCUUUCUGCUGUUGUUUUCUUGCCAGAGGUCAGAACCAAAUGAGAGAUAAAACAAAACUGGUCAGUUGGAGAACCAAGUAUCACCUUUAUGACUAAUGAAGCUAUUAUCAGACGGCAUGGCAACAAUGGGCUUCCAAAUACUGAACCCUGGGAUAAAAUAGAUUUCUGCAUGCAGUCUUGAACCAUGCUGGUUAACUGUGAGAUUUUCCAUUAAAGGGCAUCCUGAGAUGUAUAGAACAGAGAAAAAAUUGAGUUUUCUAGGGGUUAUUAAUCCUAGGAAAAAAUAGAGUAAGAAUUUGGGCUAUGUCAUCAUAGACUUCUUCUAAAGCCAUAGCCAGAUGUAUUUAAGGAAAUUUCCUCUUCAUUGAAGUUAUGUGAAUGGAAAAGAACUGUUUUUCUUGGUAAUGAAUCUCAUUUAAUUCUCACAGAAACCCUAAAGAGUAAGUAUUAUUAUCACUGAAACAAAGGUACAGAAAAGUGAAGUGUGUUGGCAACGUCCCACAUGAAGCUGUGGUGGAGACAUCUUUGAACCCAGGCAGUCUGGCCCCAGACUUCACAUUCUCACCCACAUGCCCUCCUGCUUCUCUAAUCUUUUUGAGCUGAACUUUCUUAUCUGAAAAAUGACGGGGUUAGACUAGAAAAAUCUCUAAAAAUUCCUUUCGACUUUAAAAUGCUUUAAUAUGUCUUUUGGUUUAUUGUAGAAAUAUCUGGGUGUGUGAAAUAUUUGAAACUCCUCAGGCAAGGGAUAAUAUGGAACAAUAUUACAUACCACUUAAAACGUUAUUUUGAUGAAAAGCCACAGUAGGUAAUUGUAACCCAAUUCUCUCCUCAAUGUGGAAAACUUAACAGUUUAAAAAGGAACAGACAGAUGGAAUUUUGCUAACACGUCCAAGAAGGAAAUAUGAUUUCACAUGCAUAUUAUAUGCAAGUUUAUGAAUGCAGUCAUAGUGUCUGGAACCUAGGUAGGAAACUAUGAUGAAAAUCAGUGAAGUAAAAUAUCAAAAUAAAACACUGCAUGACAACUCCUAAUGGGUAGCAAUGCUGGCGCCUUUAAUAAAACCACUUGGGAGUAUUAACGUGAGACGUAAGUGGCUGAAGGGUUCUGAAUUUCCCCGGUGAUAUUCAUAUAUCAAAAUGAAUGUUAGCUGGCAAUAAUUCAAGAAGGGACAUGCUUAGCAUGCCACUGUUGAGAUGCCCAAAUUGUGAUCAGGGACAGUAAAUUGUGACAUUUUACUUUGCGUCAAAAUUAAGUAGACAACUUUGUUCAUAAUUUCCUAAGAGCUUGUUUGGAGCAAAUAUUUAGGCUUAUAAUCUCAAUUAAGGAUGGAAUGUGUGAUUUAGGUAACAAAAUCACCUUUGUAUAUUUGAAAGGAUAAAGGUAUUAUCGACAUGUUUCCAAUGAAACCCCUUUUGGUGUCUUCUGGGCAGUGGAGAAUUUACUCCACAUUUGAAUGCCCACUCUGGGCAUUUGGAAUAAUAUUUUUAAAAAUUACUUUAAAAUAAUAAGCUUUUAAAAGUGGCUUCAAACCAACAUAGGUUUUUUUUUUUUUAAAUAAAGAUUUUAUUUAUUUAUUUAGAAAAAGAGAGCGCAUGCACAAGUGAAGGGAGGGGCAGAGGGAGAGGGAGAGAGAGAGAAUCUCAAGCAGAUGCUCCAAGGAGCAUGGAGGCUGCCGCUGGCUUGAUCCCGGGAUUCUGAGAUCAUGACCUGAGCUGAAAUCAACGGUUAGAUGCUUUACCGGUUGAACCACCCAGGCCCCCCAAACCAUUAUAAGUUCUAAUCAUACAAUUAAUGUUCAAAUAACUUUAGUUUUUCUGUCAAAUUAAUUUGGUAGUUGGCAAGUAUCAAGUACUAUUAUUUAAUGCAAUAUGUUUAAAUGCUAGCUGAUAAGUUUUCUUCUACUUUUCCACCAAAAA